AUAUCUUACUGUUAUCUAUUUUUAGAUUGCAUAAACAACAAAUCCAAUUGAACAUGAGUUGAUAGGUCUGGUUGUAUGGUGAAGUAUACGAGCACGAUAGCUGCCUAUAUCAUAUUUUCUCAAUAUGAGCAGGAUCGGAGGUCUAUUACGCCGGACCUUUGGGGUGAUAAAAGAACAUGUGGGCAGCGACCAUUUAGGAAAUAAAUACUACUGGCAGCCAGAGCAAAAGACUUGGACGGGGUCCUCAAUUUAGAGCUGAAUCAUGACAGAGAUGUGGCUCGAAUCCAUAGCAACGGGAGGAUUGUCCGGACCAAGCGGAUGGUGGUGGUGGUUAAUCCUACAGAGUUUGAGUAACUGGAAGGCAGCAUACCCUCAGAGUGGGAUGCUUGGAUCCGAGGCAGACGGAAGCAGGCCCCCUCCAUCAAAGAGCUGGUGAGGAACCAGAACUACAGGGAGCACAUAAAAGGCAAGGCGAGGGAGGUGGAGGAGAGAGAGCUGCUUCUGCAGGCUAAGGAGUAUGAGGAGGGGCUGGUGGCUUGGCCUGCUCAGACCAUAGCCAAGGGCCACGCCGCCGCUUCCAGCUUCGGCCAGCCAGAGACCAGCGAGGAGCCUGUCAGUACAGCCAACACAUUCCAGCCUGGCUCCUGGACACCCGCAGUCAAGAAAUAGAUACACACACACAAACUGGGUCACGAUAACAGUAUUGCGAUACCGCGAUACUGGAUUUUCCAGGGUAAAAAAUAAAACACGAAGCAGACUGAACUAUAUAGUCCUGUGAUAUAGCUUGGGGGGAGCGGGAAUGAAGGCUAGUACAGGGAACUUGGGGCUGGAAGGUGGACUGGGUCGUAUUCAUUAGUGCACACUUUAGCAAAAUGCUUGGCAAUGGAAACAGGUCAUUCCAAACAAACUUGACGUAAGCGGUUUCCGCUGCAACCGCGUUGUAUUACUGUUUGCAGUAAUGAAUACAACACUGGACAUGAUGUAAACUAAUGGGAGCGCUCAACGCUCUUAUAUGAAAAAGCUUUUAUUGCGUUGAAUCAGGGAAUACUUGACAUAGUACAUGGCAUUCAUGGGGUGUGGAAGACACAUUUUAUCUGAUCUCCCCAACUAUACUGUAAAGGCUUUGUAUAUAAAGUUCUGUUGUAGGUAAUCAAGGUAUAUUUGAUGAUUUUUUUGUGGAUUGUAAAUGAAACUGCCAGGCUUGAGCAAACUGGGAUGUGAUGUAAGUGCUGGCAAGUAGGUGGUACUGUUUUUCAGUUGGUAGAUCAUGGUGUUUGCAAUGUCAUAAUGGUGGGUUCGAUUCCCGCUGGGGCCACCCAUACAAAAAGGUAUGAACGCACUAUUGUAAAUUGAUUUGGAUGAAGUGUCUGCUAAAUGGCAUACAUAUUAUAUUAAGUUCAUUUUUUUUUUAUGGCUUUACGUAUUUGGUAUGAUUAUACACCCCCAACACACACUCACCUGACACUACAAACCUUUUAAACACAUUUUUUUGCAUGAAAACUACCUGGAUCACAUCUUGGUCGAGUUCCUGCCCGACUCCAUAGCAGACUCCUGUCAGAUCUCAAAACGCUUGGACAGGUGUUUAAUUAUCAGCUAAACACAUAUGAUAUAGCAAUCUAUGUCCGACUGAACAGUUGAUGACAUGGCAUGCAACCAUUGGUUGAUGCAGUGCAACGCCUGCGCAUCAAGUCGGGC